GUCGUAACAAGGUAGCCGUAGGGGAACCUGCGGCUGGAUCACCUCCUUAACGAAAGAUUGACGAUCGGUAAGAAUCCACAACAAGUUGUUCUUCGAGAUAUGUCUUACGAAACUUUUAAAGCGAUGCUUUAAAACUUUCUCAGGGUCUGUAGCUCAGUUGGUUAGAGCACACGCUUGAUAAGCGUGGGGUCACAAGUUCAAGUCUUGUCAGACCCACCAAAUCUGAAAGAUAUGUCGUUCAUUAUGAUUUAAGCUGGGGACUUAGCUUAGUUGGUAGAGCGCCUGCUUUGCACGCAGGAGGUCAGGAGUUCGACUCUCCUAGUCUCCACCAAAUUCGAGGGUAAACAAAGCAACGCUUUGUCCGAGAAUUUAAGCAAACAGCUAUGCUGUGCGCAGGCACACAUAGAACGAAGCUUAGAGCUAAAGAUUACAGAACUUAGUAAGCAAAUAGCUUAUUAACUUCUGUGAUUUAUCACAGUUUGCUACUCGCUGACGAGGCGGUAGUUAAUCAUUAACAGAUUAGAAUUUGAGUCUGAAAUAAAUUGUUCAAACUCGAUUAAAUAGGAAGAUAACAAGUAAUUGUUAAAUUAAUAUUUAAUCUGAGAACUAGCAAAAACACUGAAUCAAGCGUUUUGGUAUAUGAAUUUAGAUUGAAGCUGUACGGUGAUUAAGUUCACGAAACAACAAACUGUGGGCGCAAGCCUGUUGUUACACUCACUUGUAAGUGUUAACGACUGUUUGGGGUUGUAUAGUCAAGUAAUUAAGUGCAUGUGGUGGAUGCCUUGGC
rnacentral:misc_RNA from 1 species